UAACCGUUGCUUUGGUGUCCACUCGAAU
rnacentral:sRNA from 1 species